GAUGAACGCUGGCGGCGUGCCUAAUACAUGCAAGUCGAGCGAACAGACGAGGAGCUUGCUCCUCUGACGUUAGCGGCGGACGGGUGAGUAACACGUGGAUAACCUACCUAUAAGACUGGGAUAACUUCGGGAAACCGGAGCUAAUACCGGAUAAUAUAUUGAACCGCAUGGUUCAAUAGUGAAAGACGGUUUUGCUGUCACUUAUAGAUGGAUCCGCGCCGCAUUAGCUAGUUGGUAAGGUAACGGCUUACCAAGGCAACGAUGCGUAGCCGACCUGAGAGGGUGAUCGGCCACACUGGAACUGAGACACGGUCUAGACUCCUACGGGAGGCAGCAGUAGGGAAUCUUCCGCAAUGGGCGAAAGCUUGACGGAGCAACGCCGCGUGAGUGAUGAAGGUCUUCGGAUCGUAAAACUCUGUUAUUAGGGAAGAACAAAUGUGUAAGUAACUAUGCACGUCUUGACGGUACCUAAUCAGAAAGCCACAGCUAACUACGUG
rnacentral:rRNA from 1 species